GAGAGAUUAGUGAUCGAACAUGCCAUGUAUCUGGUUACCACCGUAUAUUUUCUAAUCGCCCUUUCAGACCUGCAACCCCCAGCUCGGCGACUCCAUCCAAGGUGAGGCGGGAUCUGUUGGAAGAGUUUGAGGAGGCGGGAGGAAUUCAGAGCUUGGCCUUGGGUGUGUUGGAGUGAGAGAGGCCGGUGGAGGGUUCCACUGGGUAGUGACGAAAUAGGGGAGAGAGAAUAGAAGGGAUGGAGAAGAGAGAGAGAGAGAGGCUGGAGAUGGAGACGGUGAAGACAGUAGUGUUCCACCCCCAGACGUGCAGUAAUACUAGAGCGCCGCCACUAUUGGAGAGGUCCACCACUGUAGGGUGAUGAAAUAGGCGUGAGAGGGAGAGGGAGAGAGAGUUGUAACGGGUCUCCGCUUAGACCAUCUUUGGGUGUAAAUAUUUUCGUAGCCCACACUGUUGUUUUUCUCAGAGACUGAGCACUAUCGUUGUUGCAGGCGGUGGCAGCCAUGCCCGGUGACUUCUCCAACAAAAAGGAUCUCUCCAGAAAUCCUUCCAACUGUCGCAACUGUCGAAUCCAGGCAAAGCCCUAUUUUUCUCGAGGGAGAGAGAGGUCGAAUGUGGAGGGGUUCGCCGUUGCUGCAACAGUGGCGGUGAUGAAACAGGGGCAAGAAGGAGAAAGAACGAAGGGAGUAGGGGGGAGAAUGAAGGGGACGAAGAGAGAAAGAGAGGGAGGGAGCCCUUCGCCGGUGGUCGUCGUUGCCUAUGGCGAUUAUGCUGAGAGGGAGAGAGAAUGAAGGGCUCGUCGCCUUCGUCAAGCAAAAUAGCAGUGGCCAUCAUUAUUUUCGGCUAUGAUGACGCCGGUGGUAGUUCUUUGUUCACCAUCAAGAAGACGAUGAACAGAGAUGAAGAUGGAGGAAGGAGAAGAAGAGGAAGAAGGAGAAAGAGAAGAAGAAGAGGGGGAAAGAGAGAGAGAGAGAACGGGGAAGGGACCUGGCCGGAGGUGGAGGGGAUAAUGCCGGUUCGCCACCGCUGUGUCGAGAGUUGGAAGAGAUGAUGAACAUUGUUUUUUCAGUUCGCUGUGAGAGAGGACCCACUUGUAAAAUGUGGGUCUGAUUCAAGGUUUUCACUGAUUGAAAGACCAUUUGGUAUUCACCCUCUCCUUUUCUUCCUCUGAGCUCAGUGUUGACACGACUUCUUGCUCGACUAAUCGGCAUGAGUAGCCAGUGGGUGGCACUUUCUUCUGUCAUUUUUGGUUGCCAGCACAGUGCCCAACCCCGGUCGGUGCAGUCAUUGUUCCACAACCUAGCACCUAGUGAGGGAGACAUUGGCAUCCCCAACCGACAACUGCAGUAAUGACGGAAAAUACCUUGGGGGAGAAGCACCGGCAUAUGACAAUGGGAAAUACCUUUCAGAUCAGAACUAUUCAUCGGGAACAUCAUCUACAGAGUGUACCUCAAGCUAUGUUAUCUAUAAUGACACUUAUUUUGGAGGAGAAGGUUUCCCAACCUCUUUUAGAUGCGAGUUUUGAAAUCUUCUGAAGGAUGAAGAGGUGGGGAUGGCUUUGAAGUGUAACUAUACUCUUGGAUUUUGAACUGGAUGAUGGGGUUGAUGUGCGUUAUGGAGGCCUCGGUCUUCGACAACUUGGAGUCGCAGUCAGCCAUUGCAAGCUUGAACCACUGGUGGCAAAUUUUAUGAAAGUUUUAUGUGCAACCAGGAGAUUUACAAAUAUGCCAUGAUGGAGAUGGCAUUGGACUCUCCUGAUCUACCUAUGGGAAUGCUCUCUGAUAUCCAUUUAAAAAGAUGCAUGACCACAUUCUCUCGUUUAUUCCGUUGCACUCACUGUUUUCUCCAAUCACUCUAUUAAAAAUUUACAGCUAAGAAAUGGGAGGAUCAUUUAAUUUUUCAGGUGAGGAAACUCUCUUACAGUUCAUAGAAACUGUGAAAUCAACAGAGGAGAUGGGACAGUAAGUUCAUGCUGUUUCGUCAGAUUUCAGCCAGAGAUGGUUUACGCUCAUGACUCUACCAGGCGCUUUAUCUUCAGGGACUAUCUGGAUAUUGCAGAUAAUGCAGCAGCUGCAUUAGAGACUGUCCGGGACAUAAAUGUGGCCUCACAUCUCAUAGUAGACCUGACUGGCUCAUGGUUUAUAUACUUGCAGAUCGAGUUAUGGAGUAACAGUUAAAAACAUUUUUGCUGUUGAAUCAAGUGCUUUCCCUUCUUAUGAAGAAAUCAAAUUACCAAACAAGGUUCUCUUGUGGUGUGGUACUGGAAGUUCUAAUCUACUCAGGCACUUGCAUAAAGGGUUCUUACCUUCCUGUUCCAGGCUAUAUGUUUGGCAAGGCGAUUAUUUGUUCUGAUGCCGCAGCAGAAGCUGCUAGGACACCAAGAAGUGAAGAAGGCAGGUGUGAAGGCUUUAGGAAGGAAGAAACCCCUUGAAUUCAACGAGUACGCUGUCUACGAUCCAAAACAGGUAUGCAUAAGGUUCUUGGUGGCUGUCAGAUACGAGGAGAAUAGAUACAGAAGAAUGACCGGAAGAUGCAGAAAUGGAGAUCCCAAGAAAAGGAAAGAUAGAGCGAGGAGAAGGGAAUGUACAUAUAUGCCUUUUUUGCCCUGUUCCUUGUUUCCUUCUCAUAGGUAGGCUUGGGUAGCAGCAAGCAGCAAACCUGUGCAUGUUUUUUGUAAAGUUUACAAGAACUCUGUAACUUUUUGAAACAGUCAAAAGAUCUAGCCAGGUUCCUCUCCUCCA